UACGUAGGUGGCAAGCGUUGUCCGGAUUUACUGGGCGUAAAGCGCGCGUAGGCGGAAGGUGAAGCGUGGCCUGAAAGCCCCCGGCUCAACCGGGGAGGGCGGCUGCGAACUGGCCUUCUUGAGGGCGAUAGAGGGGGGCGGAAUUCCUGGUGUAGCGGUGAAAUGCGUAGAUAUCUGGAGGAACACCGGUGGCGAAGGCGGCAUCCUGGACCGAGAUUGACGCUGAGGCGCGAAAGCCAGGGGAGCAAACGGG
rnacentral:rRNA from 1 species